rnacentral:lncRNA from 1 species
UUCUUUUCUCUUGCCUGAGGAGUUUCUUGUAGUGCUGUCGUACUGACCAUAGAUUCUUUUAAAAUUUUAUGCCUAGAAAAGUCUUUAUUUUAUCUUCAUUUUGAAAGACACUGUCUUCAUGUGUUGAGUUCUAGGCUCACAGCUGUUUUAUAUCCUGUGAACUUAUCUUUGUGUCUGAAACAUAAUAGACACUUUAUUUUUGUUGGCCAAAUGAAGAAAAAUAUAGUAAAAUAAACAUAUAAUGCAGAGAAAAUAGAAUGUGUUGACUUGGGGUGAUUUGACUACUUAUGAGGUAUAGACAAUGAUGGUUAAUUACUCAAAUAUUUAGAACUAAUUUCCUCCAUGUCUUUCCAUCUUUAACUCAUUAGAUUUCCCCACACCCUC